AGGGAAUCUUCCGCAAUGGACGAAAGUCUGACGGAGCAACGCCGCGUGAGUGAUGAAGGUUUUCGGAUUGUAAAGCUCUGUCAUCUGGGACGAUAAUGACGGUACCAGAUGAGGAAGCCACGGCUAACUACGUGCCAGCAGCCGCGGUAAUACGUAGGGAGCAAGCGUUGUCCGGAUUUACUGGGUGUAAAGGGUGCGUAGGCGGCUCAGCAAGUCAGGUGUGAAAACUAUGGGCUUAACUCAUAGAUUGCACUUGAAACUGUGGAGCUUGAGUGAAGUAGAGGCAGGCGGAAUUCCCGGUGUAGCGGUGAAAUGCGUAGAGAUCGGGAGGAACACCAGUGGCGAAGGCGGCCUGCUGGGCUUUAACUGACGCUGAGGCACGAAAGCAUGGGUAGCAAAC
rnacentral:rRNA from 1 species